UACGUAGGGUGCAAGCGUUGUCCGGAAUUAUUGGGCGUAAAGAGCUCGUAGGCGGUUUGUCGCGUCUGCUGUGAAAACUGGAGGCUCAACCUCCAGCCUGCAGUGGGUACGGGCAAACUAGAGUGCGGUAGGGGAGAUUGGAAUUCCUGGUGUAGCGGUGGAAUGCGCAGAUAUCAGGAGGAACACCGGUGGCGAAGGCGGUUCUCUGGGCCUUACCUGACGCUGAGGAGCGAAAGCAUGGGGAGCAAACAGG
rnacentral:rRNA from 1 species